UGGGGAAUAUUGGACAAUGGGGGGAACCCUGAUCCAGCCAUGCCGCGUGUGUGAAGAAGGCCUUAUGGUUGUAAAGCACUUUAAGCGAGGAGGAGGGUACUGGUAUUAAUACUACCAGCUACUGGACGUUACUCGCAGAAUAAGCACCGGCUAACUCUGUGCCAGCAGCCGCGGUAAUACAGAGGGUGCGAGCGUUAAUCGGAUUUACUGGGCGUAAAGCGUGCGUAGGCGGCUAAUUGAGUCGGAUGUGAAAUCCCCGAGCUUAACUUGGGAAUUGCAUUCGAUACUGGUUAGCUAGAGUGUGGGAGAGGAUGGUAGAAUUCCAGGUGUAGCGGUGAAAUGCGUAGAGAUCUGGAGGAAUACCAAUGGCGAAGGCAGCCAUCUGGCCUAACACUGACGCUGAGGUACGAAAGCAUGGGGAGCAAACAGG
rnacentral:rRNA from 1 species